rnacentral:rRNA from 1 species
UACCAGAAAGCCACGGCUAACUACGUGCCAGCAGCCGCGGUAAUACGUAGGUGGCAAGCGUUAUCCGGAAUCAUUGGGCGUAAAGGGUGCGUAGGUGGCGUACUAAGUCUGUAGUAAAAGGCAAUGGCUCAACCAUUGUAAGCUAUGGAAACUGGUAUGCUGGAGUGCAGAAGAGGGCGAUGGAAUUCCAUGUGUAGCGGUAAAAUGCGUAGAUAUAUGGAGGAACACCAGUGGCGAAGGCGGUCGCCUGGUCUGUAACUGACACUGAGGCACGAAAGCGUGGGGAGCAAAUAGGAUUAGAUACCCUAGUAGUCCACGCCGUAAACGAUGAGAACUAAGUGUUGGAGGAAUUCAGUGCUGCAGUUAACGCAAUAAGUUCUCCGCCUGGGGAGUAUGCACGCAAGUGUGAAACUCAAAGGAAUUGACGGGGGCCCGCACAAGCGGUGGAGUAUGUGGUUUAAUUCGAAGCAACGCGAAGAACCUUACCAGGGCUUGACAUCCCACUAACGAGGCAGAGAUGCGUUAGGUGCCCUUCGGGGAAAGUGGAGACAGGUGGUGCAUGGUUGUCGUCAGCUCGUGUCGUGAGAUGUUGGGUUAAGUCCCGCAACGAGCGCAACCCUUGUCGCAUGUUACCAGCAUCAAGUUGGGGACUCAUGCGAGACUGCCGGUGACAAACCGGAGGAAGGUGGGGAUGACGUCAAAUCAUCAUGCCCCUUAUGGCCUGGGCUACACACGUACUACAAUGGCGACCACAAAGAGCAGCGACACAGUGAUGUGAAGCGAAUCUCAUAAAGGUCGUCUCAGUUCGGAUUGAAGUCUGCAACUCGACUUCAUGAAGUCGGAAUCGCUAGUAAUCGCAGAUCAGCAUGCUGCGGUGAAUACGUUCUCGGGCCUUGUACACACCGCCCGUCAAACCAUGGGAGUCAGUAAUACCCGAAGCCGGUGGCAUAACCGUAAGGAGUGAGCCGUCGAAGGUAGGACCGAUGACUGGGGUUAAGUCGUAACAAGGUAUCCCUACGGGAACGUGGGGAUG